rnacentral:misc_RNA from 1 species
GAUGUCUAUUUGCUGGGCAAAAAUAAGCAUUGUAGCAGUAAAGAACAAAUUUUGGCAGCCAUAUGGAGGAUGAUAAUAAAACCACCUACAAACACAAGGAUUAUUACAAGGUUCUUGAAGUUGAAUAUGAUGCAUCAGAUGAGAAGAUCAGAUUAAACUAUAGGAAACUUGCACUGUCAUAUCAUUCACGUUGAUUGAAAUGCGCAGAAGUGGCAUCCUGACA